AAGAAGUGGGUAGUUUAACCUUUCGAGGAGGACGCUCACCACUUUGUGGUUCAUGACUGGGGUGAAGUCGUAACAAGGUAGCCCUAGGGGAACCUGGGGCUGGAUCACCUCCUUA
rnacentral:rRNA from 1 species